rnacentral:rRNA from 1 species
GACGUAGGUGGCGAACGUUAUCCGGAAUUAUUGGGCGUAAAGGGUGCGUAGAUGGCAUGAUAAGUCAGUGGUGAAAUCCCCGAGCUUAACUUGGGAACUGCCAUUGAUACUAUUAGUCUUGAAUACCGUGGAGGUCGGCGGAAUAUGUCAUGUAGCGGUGAAAUGCUUAGAUAUGACAUAGAACACCAAUUGCGAAGGCAGCUGGCUACACGAAUAUUGACACUGAUGCACGAAAGCGUGGGGAUCAAACAGG